rnacentral:tRNA from 1 species
GGGAGUAUAACUCAGUUGGUAGAGUUUUGCAUUUGCAAAGCAAAUGUCAGCGGUUCAAAUCCGCUUGCUUCCAC